rnacentral:rRNA from 1 species
UACGGAGGGGGCUAGCGUUGUUCGGAAUUACUGGGCGUAAAGCGUGCGCAGGCGGUUAUGCAAGACAGAUGUGAAAUCCCCGGGCUCAACCUGGGAACUGCAUUUGUGACUGCAUAGCUGGAGUGCGGCAGAGGGGGAUGGAAUUCCGCGUGUAGCAGUGAAAUGCGUAGAUAUGCGGAGGAACACCGAUGGCGAAGGCAAUCCCCUGGGCCUGCACUGACGCUCAUGCACGAAAGCGUGGGGAGCAAACAGG